UUUAAAAUUGGUUUAGAUCACGUUUAGAUGGCAUUUACGUCGAUCUAAACGUUUAGGAAUCUAAUCUAAACGUGUUCUGAAUAUUUAAUUUGCGUUGAAAAGCUAAAUCAAACAAUUUCCGUACGGAACUAACUAAAUUAAAUUAGUUUCUUACAAAAUGUGUCGGACAUUUUCAAUCUUUCAUUAUGAUUAAAAAUUAGAGUUUCUUAUUAAUCUUAAAUUAUGUAAUAAAGGUUUAGAAAAAAUAAAAGAAAUUUGUUUUUAGUAUUAUAUUGUGGCUAAUGAAGGAGUUAAAAAGUCCUUCCAGUCAGUUGCAACAACAAUUAAAGCAGCAGGAAUCAGCCAAGUACACAUGCAAGUGAUCGUUAUGAGGAUUGCAAAACUUUUAAAUAUCAGAAACUGAAGAAAGCAUUGAUAAUCAGCAGAUAUCAAAAAAGCGCAAAAGUACUGAUUUUACAACUCUUUUAAAGGUUUCAUUUUAAUUUGUUAUUGUUUAUAUAGAAACUAAUAAUAUAUAAACUGAAAAGAAUAACAUAUAAUUAAUCCAUAAUUGUGCAUUAUUCUAAUCUAAAUUAUUAUUUUUUUCAAUAUCUUCAGAGUUAAUAUUACUAGUUUAAUCAU